CUCCAGGAAGACGUCCCACUUCCAACACUCCAUGUUCCAGGGCAUGUUUCCACUUUUCUCACUCAGCCAGCUGAAGUCAUCUCCACCAGGGACAGCAAUCCUUGUGUCCUGGGCAAAGUGAGGCGCCAGCUUUGGUGGAGCCACCAGUUAUCACAAAAAAAGAACCCAGAAUCCAACCCCUCAAACUCACCCAGAAG